UUUACAAGUUUUGAAUAUUGAUGCGGAUUGGGUAUCUAACAGAGCUAAAUAGGCAAAUAGCUAACAUCAACUAGUUUGGGAUUUAGUUGUUGCUAUUGUUUUUGUUUGUCCCAUAUAAAAGCAUUCUUUGAACUUCAAAUGAGACAAGAACAAAGAUUUCUAAAGCUUUGAGAAUUUCUAUUUCAAAAUCUCAAUAUUUACACCUCUACCUUUUGUGCCACUAUUUAGUUUUGGCAUAUUGCAUUUUUCAAUUCUCUAGGUUUUGAAAAUCUAAAAUCACAGUGAAAGCACAACACUCUCACCCUUGAAGAUUAUCUCUAUAAAAGAAUUAAACUACCCCAAUGAGAAAAGCAUUCAAAAGAUUAGUUAAUCAAUUAGUGUCAAUCAUUUCUCCAAAAUAUUAAGGCUAUAUUUCAAACCUUUUACACAUUUAUACUACCAUAUGUAGGGCUAAGCACUUUUCUUUCUGAACCGAACUAAACUGAACCAAUUCGAUUCAACCAGUUCAGUUUUUUGGUAUAUGCGAUUUUGGUUUGUUUGAAAAUUUAGGUAACUUUAGCUUUUGGUUCAGUCUGGUUUUUUUCGAUAAAAAAAAGAUCAAAAAAACCGAACCAACUGAUUUAUCCCUCCACAUAAAGUACAAUCAUUUUACCCCAGGUAUAAAAACAAAAUAUCCUUACCUCAUUUUGUCUGCCUCACAGCCCUCUUCUUCUAUUCCCCCUUCCUCUCCUUCUUCAGUUCUUCUUCCCUCUCGAUCUAUUCCUCAUCUUCUUCGAUUUCUUCCCCUCUUUCUUCUUUAGUUCUUCUUUGAUCUCUUCCCCUCUUCUUCUAUUAAUCUAUUCCCCUUCCUCUCCCUCUUCUUUAGUUCCUCUCAAAUGGAACCUGCAAGUUUAAUGGGUCUGCCAUCAUUUGCCCAUGCUAGGUUUAUCUAGGAUCUACCAAUGAAUCUCUAUUUCCCCAUCUCUGUUGUGUCGACACAAUAUCACGAGCCAAUGUUGAGGUUCACUCUCUACCUCUUCUUCUUCAAUCUUGCAAUUGCUUUUUGUUUUUGAUUCCUUCUUCUUUGUCUUUCAUGCAGUCAUAGUCAUGAUUCUGGGAAUCGUGAUUGUAUUGCAUCCGAGUUUGUGAUUGAAUUUCAUAUGGGUUGUAUUGUGAUUAUAUUGCAUCUAGGUUAUAUUGUGAUUGUAUUGCAUCCAAGUUUGUG
rnacentral:misc_RNA from 1 species